GGUUAAGCGACUAAGCGUACACGGUGGAUGCCCUGGCAGUCAGAGGCGAUGAAGGGCGUGCUAAUCUGCGAUAAGCGCCGGUAAGGUGAUAUGAACCGUUAUAACCGGCGAUACCCGAAUGGGGAAACCCAGUGUGAUUCGUCACACUAUCAUUAACUGAAUCCAUAGGUUAAUGAGGCGAACCGGGGGAACUGAAACAUCUAAGUACCCCGAGGAAAAGAAAUCAACCGAGAUUCCCCCAGUAGCGGCGAGCGAACGGGGAGGAGCCCAGAGCCUGAAUCAGCAUGUGUGUUAGUGGAAGCGUCUGGAAAGGUGCGCGAUACAGGGUGACAG
rnacentral:rRNA from 2 species